ACUUCUUGUACUUUGUAACCUAAUCUCUUCAUCUUGCUCUUUUUUCUCUCUCACAAAAAAAUAUUUUUCUUUUUUCUCCCAAUCAAAAAAAUAGAUCUAGAUCGAAGAACAUCAAAAUCAUUUUGAUUUCUUUGUUUUUUUCUAAGAAUAAUCAAGAAGAAAAUAGAUCUAGAUCGAAGAACAUCAAGAUUAUUUUGAUUUCUUUGUUUUUCAAGAAUAAUGAAGAAAAAAAAAUAGAUCUUGAUCGAAGAAUAUCAAAAUUUUGUUUUUCAAGAAUAAUCAAGAAGAAUACACGGCCUAGGCAUCUGCAAUAUACAGUGUCAUGGCAUCUGUAGGAACAUGUCAAACAAAGAUCUGAAAGAAAUAAAGAUACCUUUCUCCUUAAGGUGGACAGGACAGACUUUGGAGGUAAAAGUGCAGCCGACAGAUUACACCGCAAUCAACAGUCAGAAUUUCACAAGCUGACAGUCGGUCACCAUUGAGCACUUACUAAGAUAAACUGUUAGUAAAUGUGUAUAUCCAUUCCUUACUCAGCAAAUGUACAAUCCAUGUAAAAAUGCAGCAGAGAUUUACAUCAAAUGUACAAUCCAUUCCUUUGUAUGUAAAAGUGCAGCAGAGAUUACAGCACAAUCAACAAUCAGAAUUCACCUCAAUGAAAACUAGAAGUCGACGGUCUGUCGGUAUUGAGCUCA